ensembl:lncRNA
AAAAAAGAAUUUCAAGAUUCUACAGAGCUUUAAACAAAUGUGGGGUCCCUUCAGUGUAUAGAUUGGAGCCUGUGAAGCUGGCACCAGACCCUCAACUGCUUAACAUGCAUGAGUACUAUAGUUACCAGACAGUAGGCCUCUCUUUGUCAUAUACAUCAUCUUCUCACAGAAACCGUGAGCUUCUGGGAGGUUCCUUAACUUGCUCAAGAUCAUAUGCAAAAGAUUGUAUAUAAUCCCACUUUUUCCCCUCACUGGACAGAAUGUAGGUCACUUCUGAACAAUAUUUUCACAUAUAUAGUCUCGUGUGAUUUUUCCUUGUCUAGUUAUGUGGAUAAUAAUCACUAAUAUGAACUGAGUACUUACAAUGUAUCAGGCAAUGUUCUAGUUUUUACAUGUUUUUACACAUUUAAUACAUGCAUUCACGCUCCUUUUGUGAGGAUUUGGCAGAAAGUGGAAAGCACAGCUCAAAAGAUUAACUAAAAGAGAUUUUAAUGAAGGGACUACUUUCAGAGGUGUAGGUAGGGUCUUCAAGGAAUAUAGAUACAUCUGGAACCAGCAAGAAUAGGAAACUGUUAAUGUCCCUGGUUGGAAUGAGGGAGGAGAAAGGACAGAGUCACCAGAACUGGGUGACAUCAUUAGCCGUGGCAGACAGGUGCUAUGGCCAUGGUCAAGGAAGACAGCUCCUGUCCAAAUCCUGAACAGGUCCUCACAUGGCACAGAAGCCCAGCAUGUAGCAAUACAUGGUUUGCUACCAAACUUGUGAAUUUGGAACAUCAUAGUCGUGGAAAACCAGCCUGAAUAAAUAAAAGUGAACUUUAAUUGUUAUAAAUGUGUGCAAUCAGAUUACCUUCAAGAUGAAGAAUAAUUGGGAUUAGGGCUGCAAAGCAUUGCCUGGGUAACGGUUGUGGGGGAUUUGGUCUUAAGAAGGGAGAAAAGUGAUUUGCCAUUAACUGCAUCAAUUUCAAAGCAAAUAAGUAAUUCUGAAACAGAGUCAAAAGCAUUUGAAAAGUUCAAUUUCUUGAAUAGGGUGCAUGCUCUUCCCCAGAUUAUAGUCUGUAGCUGGUUUAGAUCAUGCAUUAAUUCAAUGAGUACGUUAUCAAGAGCCUCUUGUGUCAGGUGUUGUGCCAGGUGCUAGGACACAGCUAUGGACACAACAGAUAAAAUCUCUACUCUCAAGGCACUUAAACUCUAGUGGCAGGAGACAGACGACAAACAAAUAACGAAUAGAUACAUGAUAGUGCUAGGAGGGAAAACCAAACAGAGUAAGGACAGAGAGUGAUGGGAGGGGGAGGCAGACACUACCUAAUACAGAAUUAUCACAAAAACUCUCUCAGACAAGGAGACAUUUGAGCAGAGAACUGAAGGAAACCUCAGUGACCUCGGUGGUAUAGUUGUGAACCUUAGCCCAGUGACACUGAAGAGAAUUUUAGAUCUGGAAGGGACCACAGGGAUGCCCAGGGUGAAGCCCUUUAUUCAGAGCCAUAUGGUAAAUAAUUAUCAAUGAAACUUGCACUAAAAAUCACAUAUUGGGAUUCUCAUUUUGUCAUUCAACAAUAUUACUGGGCCCCUUUAUGAGCCAGGACCCUAGUCUCAU